GUUCCAUUGCAUUCAAACAGAUACAGAAACACAGGCUAAUUAGUAACAAGGUAUUGCAAAACAUGGCCUUAGCAGGCCUCUGACCAACUUACUCAUUCUAGUGGGGUUGUGAGGGGGAUGAAAUUACAGCGAAGUAAGGUUUUUUUGAGAUUUUAAUAUUUUGCCCUAGGAUUUACACUUUGAAUUUUUUAUCUUCUUACAGGUUUUUUUUUUUUUUAAUCUUAAGAGAUCAGUGAAGAAUUGCCUUAAAUCAAUAUGUAGGUCAGGCAUAGCACAUAUCUGUUAACCCAACACAAGUGACGCUGAAGCAAGAGGAAAGUUUGAGACCAGGCUGGGCUGCAUAUUAAGUAUGCAAUGCAACUUAAGUAAUCUGGAUGCAAUAUGAUCACAAUGAUUCUGUGACUGAGAUGGUGAAAGUUCCAUCAAACACCUUGGAGAGCAGGUAAGGUAGCUCGACAGAGUCUGCAUUCUGAGGACAUCUUUUUGCACAUACACUGGACCAUGCUGCUUACUUCCAGAUAUCAUGUGAUUUAAAAGCAAAUAAUUUAAGGAAUGAUUUGUUCCUGAAGUCUUACAGAUAUAGGCUCUGUCUGUCUUGGUUCAGACAUCCACCUUGAGAAAUGGAUGAUGGAUGGACAUGUUAAUUUCCAAGUAUAAUUAAUGCUUGAGGCUUGGGAAGGGGAUGAUGAAACUGUACCAUUCAUCUCUAGAAGAAGAAGUAAUUGCAUUGAGCAGACAAUAGCAUGGAUUCUCACUUAAAGGGGUGGGUUACAGCUUAUGCUGGGCAAACCUGGCAACUCAAGUUUGAUGCCUGGAACCGACAUUGUAAAAAUAGAACCAACUCCAGUAAGUUGUCUUCUGACACACAAUAAUUUUUUAAAGAGAGAGAAAUUACUGAAGUCGAUUCUGAAGAACUUCCCCAUGUCUCAAGGUCAAAUGGGUCUACCCCUGGGAGGCAAGGAAACAGUAUUCGAUAUACACAUUGGACCCUGAACAUAUAUCGAGCAGGCUCAGAAAGUAACAAGAUUGAUCAGUGACCACUAAGAACACUAUCAUUUACCUAGUGAAUUUGUGGGCCAAAGAAGUAACUUAAGAGUUUGUACUUUACACGGCAAUCCAAAGUUGGACAGCUGACCUUUGAAUUGUGUGAUUGGGGAACUGGAAAUAAUCAAAGCCCAGUAAUUGGCUAUGAUCUGUGCAUGCUGGAGCUGGAGGGAGCAAUGCAAGGACCAGCAGCAACUGCUUUUCAACUAAUUGCCUUGGUUCAUAAUUACUGAAUUCCCCACCAAGAAGGACCAUGAAGAAAACAUGGCUUUCAAAACAACCAGCAGCACCUCUGCAAGAACUGUAACAUCCAUUAGCUGGAGUCAUUGAAACACAGGAUGCUUUUCAUCGUGAUUUCUUUGAAUAAUCAGCACUCGAAAAAAUAAAGUUGUCCAAAUAAAUGGAGUAUCCUGUGAGCAAAAGAGCUCUUUUUCCACCCAAAAUCCAUUCCUGUUUUUCACUUUCCUCUUACAACAGCACUUCAGGUUUGAAUAGAUGCGUAGCUUUCUCACAAGAAACUCCCAAGUCUCAUCUCUCUUGAAACUUCUGACCAAAUUAUAGACAGUGGGAUGUGAAGAUGUGUGUGCCACUUCUGGGCUUGGCGUCUAAAGGAAAGGAGGUGCCCCUCUAUGGCUGGGAUACAGAUGGAAGCACAGGGAACAGAUCAGCUACUCUCAAUCCAUUCUACGUUUGCAUAUGUGGCUGAGCAAAGGCCUAGGGCAGCAUCCCACACCCCGGAUGGCUACCUUUUGACAGCUGCAACAGCAAGAACAAACUUCAUCACUGUUUGAUCCACUGUCCUUAGGGACUUUGGACUAUGGGCACUUGACUGCAGCCUGGCAAGUAUCACAUGUCAUUUCCUGUUUAGGGAUGAAUAACAAUCCAGUACCGAAAUGCAGAGACCUAUACCCAGACCAUUGCUAUAUGUAUAACAUAUAUAGUUAAUGGAUUCUCAUCCUUCCAGCUCUCAUCUAAGAGGACAAGAGGGAAAGAUGAGGGACACAAAUCUAGAAUUAUUCCUAGAUUCCUGUUGUGCAAUCAACUGAGCAGGCCCUACUGAAGAUGGCUGAUGAGUGAAAUCGGCGGCUGGCUCAGUAGCCUUAGUGUUUCCCUCUUGUAAGCUGGGAUGUGGACUUCCAGAAAUAAAAUUGAAUUUUGAGCUGGGGAGAUGCUUCAGUGGGUAAAGGUGCUUGCCCCAAAUCUCGUGAAUGUUUGAGCCUUGAGACCCACAUAGUUUAAGGAGAGAACUGAUUAGCAAAAGUUGGUUUCUGACCUCCACAAGUGCUUUGAUCUGUAUACAAACAUAUGGAUAUGUGCAUAAAUAAACAAAUAAAUACGUGUA
ensembl:lncRNA